GGGAGAGGGGGGUAUCAGGAGAAUAGACAGAAAAGAAAUCUUGAGCUCUUCUUCUUCAUUCCUGAAAACCACCAUUGACACGCCUUCACUUUCUUUUUUUAUUUUUUCUUACUCUCACCAUAACCAUCAUAUCAUCUUCUCCAUAGAGAGAAAGAUCAGAAAAUAAAAAAAAGAAACCUUCGGUUCUUCUACACUAAAACCGCACACACACAGAGUGAGAUGGCAAGAAGAGAGUAGAUCAAAAGAGAGAGGGAGUAGCAGAGAGAGAGAUUCUGGGUUGAGAGCUCCGGUAAGUUCGCCGAAAUCAGCCUCGAGUUCGCAUAUCGGUUUCUUUCUCGUUGUUCGAUAGACCUCUUCUCAAAAUCGCUCAAAAAACCAUUUUAUUUUCCUUCGAUUUUUGGACAAAACCUGGUCGUUGUUCACUGUUUUGGUUGUCUUGUCUUUGUUCACUUAUCGGAGCUUAGGUCAUACAAUUUCUUUAGCAGCUAUUAGACCAUUGAAGCCUUGGUUUAGUCUGUCUUGGUGAUUCGUUUUCGAAAUCAGGUUGCGGGAUUCAUUGACUCUCAUUUCGGGUUUUGGGUUUGAUUUUCAUUCGUAUUGACCUGUCUAUUAAGAUCAGUUUGUGAUCGAAAUCGGAGUUUGUCGCUGUUGAGGUUCUCCGUUCGAGUAUUUUGGUCUUCGGAUUUCUUUAUUAUCAUACAAGAACGUUCUAUCGAGGGAAUGCCCCGAAGUACUUGUAUUAUUUUAUCCGGAAAAUGCCCCAAAGUAUUUUGUACUCGGAGGACGUUCGUGAUGAAGGCCCGAGGCAUCGGGUAAAGCAUAGGAGCUUAGUUAGGAUUAGUAUGGAUUAGAUAGGAUUUAUUUACACAUUUUUUUAUUUUUGGAUUGUAUAAUUAGACUGAACAUUGUAUUUUUGGGGUUUGUUUUGGUUUGUGUUCAUUUGCUUGA